GUUGACUCGGGAUUCGUUCCUUAUACGCUCCACCAAACCCAAAACAAGAGGACACGUAGUCGCAUGGACCCAUGCUCCGUUUUUCUUUCUCUUCUCUCCAUCCCACACUUCAUUUCCAUGCAAUGCAUCCAACUCUCCAAACACCAACUCUAUAUAUACUAAACCCAACCUAUCUAGCUCCUGUUACUUUUCAUUCACACAAUUCCUCAAACACCUUGCAACAACAUGCAACUCCGGAUACAACACUGCUAAACACCAAUGGCUUCCACCAUCGCUCCCGCAAUGCCUUCCACCUCCACCGACCCCGACCCCGACGCUGCCGUCAGGGCGGUUAGGAAACGCUACGAGGGCCUUCUCACAGUGCGCACGCGCGCGAUCAAAGGCAAAGGCGCGUGGUACUGGGCCCAUCUCGAGCCCACUCUCCUCGGCAACGCGGUCAAGCUCAAGUGCUCCCUCUGCGACUCUCUCUUCUCCGCUUCUAACCCUUCUCGAACCGCUUCCGAGCAUCUCAAGCGUGGUACGUGUCCCAAUUUCAACCACUCCUCCUUGCCUUCACCGUCUCCUAUUUCUACCGUGCUCUCCCAUUCCAACAACGGCAGAAAGAGAACCUCCUCCUCAGCCUCUCCGAAUCAGGACCGCUCCGUUCAGCAUUUGAUGUUGUCUGGAGGGAAAGAUGAUUUGUGUGCUCUCGCUGUUUUCGAGGACAGUGUGAAGAAGCUCAAGAGUCCUAGGAAUUUGUCGCAUGUUGCUCCUCCUGAGUUGACCCAGGACCAGGUUAACUCCGCUGUUGAAUUACUGGCAGAUUGGUUCUACGAGUCUUGUGGUUCUGUGCCUCUCUCUUCUCUUGAACACCCCAAGUUUCAGUCCUUUCUCACCCAGCUUGGUUUGCCGGUGACUCUGUUGAGACGCGAGAUAUAUUGUUCUAGGCUCGAGGAUAGGUUCGGGGCGGUCAAGGCCGAGUCCGAAGCUAGAAUCCGAGACGCACUGUUUUUUCAAGUGGGGUGUGAUGGUUGGAAGGGCGAGGAUGGUGUGGCGAAGUUCAUAGUGAACCUUCCGAAUGGGACUAGCGUGUUCCACAAGGUGGUGCUUGGUGGGGAGGUGGUGUCGUCUAAGUAUGCUGAGGAGAUUUUGUGGGAGGUGGUGAAGGGUGUUUGUGGAAGUGAUGUGCAGAGAUGUGUUGGGAUUGUUGCCGACAGGUUUAAGGGUAAGGCGUUGAGGAACUUGGAGGUUCAGAACCAUUGGAUGGUGAACGUUGCUUGUCAGGUUCAGGGGUUCACGGGUUUGAUCAAGGAUUUUAGCAACAACUUACCACUUUUCAGGGUUGUCACUGAAAAUUCACUCAAGGUUGCUAAUUUUAUCAACACUGAGUCUCAAGUUAGGGGUAGUUUCCUAAGGUACCGAAUGCAGGAACUGGAAUGUGCUGGGCUGGUUCGGGUUCCCUCUCCAAAAUGUGACGUGUUGAAGGACUUUACGUCUGUGUUUCCGAUGCUGGAGGACAUCCUGAGAUGUGCUGCCGUGAUCCAAAUGGUGGUGAUGGAGGACGCGUUUAAGGUGGCUUGUAUGGAGGACCCACUGGCCAGAGAGAUUGCCGGGAUUGUUCAGAGUGAGGGAUUCUGGAAUGAACUGGAGGCGGUUUAUUCGCUGGUGAAGCUCAUCAGAGGAGUGGUUCAGGACAUUGAGGCUGAGAGGCCGUUGGUUGGUCGGUGUUUGCCUCUCUGGGAGGAGGUUAGAACCAAGGUGAAGGAGUGGUGUGUUAAGUACAGUAUUGUGGUUGAACCCGUAGAGGAAAUACUCGAAAAUCGAUUUAGGAAGAAUUAUCACCCUGCAUGGUCAGCUGCAUUUAUACUUGAUCCUCUUUACUUGAUUAAAGAUGCGUGUGGAAAGUACCUUCCUCCGUUCAAGUGCUUAACUCGUGAACAAGAGAAAGAUGUCGAUAAGUUAUUGACGAGGCUGGCUUCACGAGAAGAAGCUCAUGUGGUGUUGAUGGAGCUCAUGAAGUGGAGAUCAGAAGGGCUUGACCCUCUUUAUGCACAGGCUGUGCAGAUGAAACAACAAGACCCCAUUACAGGGAAGAUGAAGGUAGCAAAUCCACUUAGCAGUAGACUUGUUUGGGAAACUUGCCUCAGCGAAUUUAAAUCCUUACGGAAGCUUGCAGUGAGGCUCAUUUUUCUGCAUGCAACCUCAUGUGGGUUUAAGAGUAAUUAUUCUUUCAUCAGGAAGCUUUCUGCUCAGAAGCACUCGAGAAUUUCCUUGGAAAGAGCUCAGAAAAUGAUAUAUGUUGCAGCUCAUGCCAAGCUUGAAAGACGAGAUUUUUCCAAUGAGGAAGAGAAAGAGGCAGAACUGCUUGCCAUGGAAAGCAGUGAUGAUGGCAUGCUGGCUGUAGUCUUUGCCGAUACACCCCUAAUAGGUGGCAUUGCUUGAAGCAGUAGGGUGGGUAGCAAACCGGACUUGGUCGCGACGUGGGUCAACCUCGGAAGAACAUGAAAAGGAAUCUUUGUGGCCGCAGAAGCACUUCUCAUAGAUAAUCCUGCAUAUCUACUGGAGUGUUUGUCUGACAAAUGGUGAGGCCCACCAUGGUGGAAGUGGCUGUCCAUGUCACUGCUUUGGUUGUCAUGGUCAAAGAAAAGUGAGGUUUGCGGAAUGAACCGUUUGGCUUACCAUGAUUGCUAAAAAGUUUGGGAGAAAGUUAAAACAAGGAGUAUAGGGAAAGAAAAUCAAAGUGAAAGCAAGGAGGCCUGUCGGCAUAAGGAGGUGCAUAAUAUGGGUCAGGGGAUAAUAUUUCAAUAAGCUGCAUAAGAAAAGCAUUUUUUGCAUGUACGUUCAGGGGAUUAUUCUAAUUUUUAACCAUGGCAGUUCUAGAGUUGGUGGUGAUGACAUCUCAGAUCACUCUUUACCCUUAUUGUCGUAGUCAUAUCAUACGUACAUGAGUUCCUUUUUAGUGUCAUACUUUUGCAGACCUGAGAAAUUGAUGUAAAGAUUAUUCUGACAUAUGACACACACUAUCAAUUUAAUGCAUGCAUUCCUCA